UUCUGGUAUUCAUCCAUCAGCAUCAGUUCCUGUGUGAGAAUCCUGUUCUGUGAGGUCAGCCAGGGUGGUGUGUGUGCACUUGUGUGGCUUCCAGUGUGACACCCACCCACACACUGUGCUAAUCAGGGUUCUGGCUGUGGGCAGGGGUGAAUUUGUUUCCCGCAGCAUCUUCACUUUUGUCCAAGAGUAUUCAUCUGAAGGGCUGGAUGCCAAAAAGAACAGGUUCGACUUGUCUGUGAGGAUUUACACCACAGUGAAAUGCACAACUGCUUUUGUAGAGGUCAUUGUGAAGGUCACGGAGCCAGAGCGCACCGCUGAAUGGGAGCAGCCUGGAACAAUGUGGUUUGCAUCUUGUACCCUCUGUGAAUGUGGCUCUGAGCUCGGAAAGGAAGAGUGUGCCCAUUUCCUGACAAUUAACAUUGACAUGACUGAGUGUGUCUAAUGUAAAC